AAAGUACGCCUGCCACCUCUGCUUGACUUGAAACUCCCCAUCAUAACUCUACCAUCCUCGCCCUUGAUGCACCUAACUUGGUCAAGAUCAAGCACCUUCAUUUCCCUUGCUUUAGCUAACCAGAAUAACUUCCUGUCCCCGCAUAUCUCCCCUAGUUCCUCGUACAUAUGACCAAACUCCGCGUUUUUAGCUUCCGUAACCGCCAGCUUUGCUUCUCGCCUCGCCACCUUGUAGAUCUCCCUGUUCGCUCUGCGUUCUUCCUCGCUUGUGCUCCCUGCCAA
rnacentral:lncRNA from 1 species